UUAUAUGAGAGUUUGAUCCUGGCUCAGGAUGAACGCCGGCGGUGUGCCUAAUACAUGCAAGUCGAGCGCACUGGCCC
rnacentral:ncRNA from 1 species